AUUACGCAGCGAAGCUAAUAAAAUAUCCCACAACUUUCCUCAAAAGGACCAGUGGAUUUUUUUAAAGGGGGAAAAAAAAAUCCCCAAAACAUUCAAAAAAUCACGCAAACAUCAGAUGAAUGAUGCUCAUUGAGGAAGCAGAAGUCCACAAGUCUUAUGUUAAUUGCCAUGGACGUUCGCUGGGAGCCUCGGGGUGGUCAAAUGAGGUGUCUCCCUUUUCGCUCCUCGGGUUAUAAGUCAGUGCACAUUUUUUUUUUCCAGAAGCUCGCUCGUUGAAGUCUACUUUCUGUAUCACCGGGGGUUGUCGGAGUUGGGUCCACUGAAAAACGUACAGUGCUAAAUCACAGCAUAUGCUGCCUCGGAGGAAAAAAAAAACGCCUCAGACUGGACGUACAGCAGUAUAUGGGCGCCCCCUAGCGUUUGGAUUAUUUCUGCCUGAUAUCGCUCUUUAAGGUGGAAGAGCCAUCUUAAAUGGAAACCGCAUCGGUCGCUCGCCUCUCACAUACACCAAAGUAACAUGCGCCUAUUUUAAUCUGAUUAAUGCUUUUGAGAUUUCCUUCUAAUUGACUUGGACGUUGCAGAGGUGCGCUUGUAGGUCUCUUCCGCACAUUUUCUUCCACGGCGUUGUUCACGCACGGGAGUAUUGCAGCGUUUCGGUUUAUUUCGGCCAGUUUAUUGAAACGAUCAAAAGUGAGCACCGUACCUCAUCUCCGACCAUUCAAAUGCCUGUAUGUGAACGAGACAGCCGACAGCGAUGCCGCAGAAGUAAAUUAUAGCGUACAGAUGCAAAGUGGAUUUUACCCCGAGAUCAAGGUAGAAUACGGUGUUCUGGCAGACUAGCUGUGCAUUGUCUCAGACCUCUGCAGGACUGUGAUGAGGACACGGUCACUGUGGGAACCCAAGAGUGCUGACGUGGUGACGUUGACAUCAACACCAACUGCAUGAUGGGAGGAGGAACUUGUGACGAAGCAGCGAAGGUAGGCCGCAAUGUACGCUUUUGAACCACUGGAACUAAUAACCUGUUAUAGAUUAUUUUAUAGGCAAAAGGAUCAUUGGCUCAACUGACAACAAACUGCUUCAAAUCAGCUGUGUACGUAUUGCAGUCCUACAUAUAAUGUUGUAGUGUAUGAUUAAAUAAUGCAACUGAACAAGUAGCAGCACUGUAUUAAAAGGAAAUAUUUUAUCGAAAAAAAUAGUACAAAUGUUUGAUCAACAACUGUACAAUAAUUUCUACUGAAAGCACAAGUAAAUAAACAUGGGUCCUAUAUGUA